rnacentral:tRNA from 3 species
ACAUAUAUAGUAUUAAUAAAUAUAUUAGAUUUAGAAUCUAAAGAUAUAUUAUAUGUU